rnacentral:rRNA from 1 species
GAUGAACGCUAGCUACAGGCUUAACACAUGCAAGUCGAGGGGAAACGACAUCGAAAGCUUGCUUUUGAUGGGCGUCGACCGGCGCACGGGUGAGUAACGCGUAUCCAACCUGCCCACCACUUGGGGAUAACCUUGCGAAAGUAAGACUAAUACCCAAUGACGUCUCUAGAAGACAUCUGAAAGAGAUUAAAGAUUUAUCGGUGAUGGAUGGGGAUGCGUCUGAUUAGCUUGUUGGCGGGGUAACGGCCCACCAAGGCGACGAUCAGUAGGGGUUCUGAGAGGAAGGUCCCCCCACAUUGGAACUGAGACACGGUCCAAACUCCUACGGGAGGCAGCAGUGAGGAAUAUUGGUCAAUGGGCGAGAGCCUGAACCAGCCAAGUAGCGUGCAGGACGACGGCCCUAUGGGUUGUAAACUGCUUUUAUAAGGGAAUAAAGUGGGUCUCGUGAGACUUUUUGCAUGUACCUUAUGAAUAAGGACCGGCUAAUUCCGUG